GGAGCCCCAAGCCUGAUUUCGGGGCCCUGUGGGCUAGUUUCACUUUUUGCUUGCUCAACAGAGGGAGGGCUGGCUGCAGGUGGGACGCCCUGCAGGAAGGUGCGAGGGCUUGCUUUGACUUUGGCGUUGAGACCAAAGGCCGACAGUGAAUUUCCACGUUUCACUCAGGCGCUGGGGUCAUUCAGUAACCAGAGCUUCUGGAGGAAAACACUUGUCCACGGUGGGCCACCAGGAGCCCUGGAGCAGUUGACCCCAGGCCCUGCAGGUUGGACACCCUUGAGGACAGCCAUCACCUGGCCCUGCUACCCUGUGCCUUGUUUUAGGAUGACAAGUGACUCCAGGAGGAGAGUGGUCUGGCUGUGGACUGCUUCCCAUUGAGGACUUCUGUUACCUGUACUGCGCUCCCGAGGGUGGAAUACAGGCCAGGCCAGAUGUAUCCAGCCUCCAUCUGCCAUGUUUGGCCACAUGGUUGCUCUGAUUGAGUAUCCUGGAUCUUGUCUCAUGGCCACCAUCUGCUAGGCUCUGCCCAGUCACGUAAUAGAGUGAGUGAGUCAGUAAGAAGAUGCCACAUCUGAACCUGGGCUCUACAGUGCUACACAUCAAGCUGGGCUGGGCCAGCUUUGUAUGGAGUGGGGUGAAGGUGUGGAAAUUAUGUAUUCACCAGACCCAGUAUAAAUGAUAAGUGGAGUUUUAUUGGGGAUACACAGAAAACAAUAAGUGACUGUCCGGGCAUUCCUGCUUCAAGGAUGCAGGCCCUGCCUCCUUGAUGCUUUUUGUGACCCAAAGGGGACCCCAAUUUCCCAUCCUCUUCCUUUAACCAGUCACAUCUGCACCUGUAACCAUACCCAAAAGUCGUGGUCUCUGUUACAGGUACACAGGCAAAUAUAUCACUACAGUGGGGGCUCUGGGUAAACUAUGGGAAGUGACAGCUGCCAUGUAUCCUGGUCAUCCUUCCUGGCGUGGGCCUUGCCUUUCCCCUGAUCAUGCAGUGUGGGCUGGAAUCAGGAGAGUUCACAGGAACACUGGGCAUGGAGAAGUGAGACUGGGCACACGGCCACAGAGGGCAGAGGCUAGCUUGUGAGUCCACACUGCAUUUCUGCCCUCAUUGUCUUCCUUGUCUGUCUGGUGGGAAGAUAAUUUUCCCUUCUGAGGAAUGCUAGCUGCUGUGUAGACCCCAGGAGAGGUUUGGGUGCUGUGUGGAGCCCAGAGGAGACAGGUUGUGUACAUGGAGAGCAUAGCACUCCACACCUGUGCCUCAUGGAAUGCAUUGUUUCUUACACUGGCCUUGAGAACGUCUCAGAUUUUCUGAGACAGUCCUGUCUGUCACUAAAAACUCCUCCCUUCAUUUUCUUCCUCUGAUCUCUGUUUAAGGUGAGCUCUAGCAAUCCCCCUGCCUCAGCGUCCUGGGUGCUGAGGCUACAGGCAUGUGUAGCCUGACCUGUUCUAAUCACCCAUCCUUCCUCACACAAUGGCUGUGGAUGGGCUCCAGAACUUAAGCCAUGGUGACAGGUGGCCUUCAACACUCUUGGGGUUUGGACUUCGGAUGUUGUUCCCUCCCCUUUAUCUCGAAUUGUCAGGGGUCACAUUGAUUGACUUCCUGAGAUUCACCUUCCCGUGUCCUGGACAGAGCAGCUUUGAUGGCAUUUGGUUUGUCGCCUAAGGCUGAGGCUAAUCUGUAGACUGUCUUACCUACUCGUGGGUGAGGUGGGGCUUCUCAAAGAGCCUCUCUUGUUCCUGGCACCUCCUGCUUCUCCAUCUCUUAGUAACUUGCUGACUGCAGCACAGAUGCCCCUGGCAGAUGGCAGAGCAGAGUGUCAGCUCAGGUGACUUAUCAUAGUGCGUGUAUGAAAUAUUGUAAAUUGAUCCUGCUUACUGUCUAAUCAGGAAGUAGGUUUGAACUUUGUUAGGCAGCAGUCUGGUGUUCACACUGAAGACAUGCUGACAGUCCAUUAGAUUGCCUCAUAGCUAAGCAUUAUGGGCUGUUGCCUUGGGGUGCCGAUGGCUCUGCUGGCCAAACUCCUGAAAGGGACUUGGCUUUCAUAUUCCUGAGUGCUCAGGCCCUUGUCUCUUGACGG